rnacentral:rRNA from 1 species
GACGAACGCUGGCGGCGCGCUUAACACAUGCAAGUCGAACGGAAAGGCCUGCUUUCCCUUGUGGAUUGCGGGUACUCGAGUGGCGAACGGGUGAGUAACACGUGAGUGAUCUGCCCCCAACUUGGGUAUAAGCCUGGGAAACUGGGUCUAAUUCCCGAUAGGACUGCAGGGUGGUUCCUGUGGUGGAAAACGAUUUUCUAGUGGUUGGGGAUGAGCUCGCGGCCUAUCAGCUUGUUGGUGGGGUAAUGGCCUACCAAGGCGGCGACGGGUAGCCGGCCUGAGAGGGUGGACGGCCACAUUGGGACUGAGAUACGGCCCAGACUCCUACGGGAGGCAGCAGUGGGGAAUAUUGCACAAUGGGCGGAAGCCUGAUGCAGCGACGCCGCGUGGGGGAUGACGGCCUUCGGGUUGUAAACUCCUUUCGACCGCGAGGAAGCCACCUGGUUGGAAGGGUGGUGACGGUAGUGGUAGAAGAAGCACCGGCUAACUACGUG